rnacentral:rRNA from 1 species
GGGCCUACGGGGGGCAGCAGUGAGGAAUAUUGGUCAAUGGGCGCAAGCCUGAACCAGCCAAGUCGCGUGAGGGAUGACGGUCCUAUGGAUUGUAAACCUCUUUUGUCGGGGAGCAAGGCCCGCCACGUGUGGCGGGAAGGAGAGUACCCGAAGAAAAAGCAUCGGCUAACUCCGUGCCAGCAGCCGCGGUAAUACGGAGGAUGCGAGCGUUAUCCGGAUUUAUUGGGCGUAAAGCGAGUGCAGGCGGUUCCA